rnacentral:rRNA from 1 species
CCUACGGGUGGCAGCAGUGAGGAAUAUUGGUCAAUGGACGAGAGUCUGAACCAGCCAAGUAGCGUGAAGGAUGACUGCCCUAUGGGUUGUAAACUUCUUUUAUAUGGGAAUAAAAUGUUCCACGUGUGGGAUUUUGUAUGUACCAUAUGAAUAAGGAUCGGCUAAUUCCGUGCCAGCAGCCGCGGUAAUACGGAGGAUCCGAGCGUUAUCCGGAUGUAUUGGGUGUAAAGGGAGCGUAGGUGGAUUGUUAAGGCAGUUGUGAAAGUUUGCGGCUCAACCGUAAAAUUGCAGUUGAAACUGGCAGUCGUGAGUACAGUAGAGGUGGGCGGAAUUCGUUGUGUAGCGGUGAAAUGCUUAGAUAUCACGAAGAACUCCGAUUGCGAAGGCAGCUCACUGGACUGCAACUGACACUGAGGCUCGAAAGUGUGGGUAUCAAACAGGAUUAGAUACCCGUGUAGUC